AUUGAACGCUGGCGGCAUGCCUUACACAUGCAAGUCGAACGGCAGCACGGGUGCUUGCACCUGGUGGCGAGUGGCGAACGGGUGAGUAAUCCAUCGGAACGUACCUUAUCGUGGGGGAUAACAAAUUGAAAAAUUUGCUAAUACCGCAUAAUACUCUGAGGAGGAAAGCGGGGGAUUCGUAAGAACGUCGUGCGAUUAGAGCGGCCGAUGGCUGAUUAGCUAGUUUGUGAGGUAAAGGUCCACCAAGGCAACGAUCAGUAGCAGCUCUGAGAGGAUGAUCUGGCACACUGGAACUGAGAAACGGUCCAGACUCCUACGGGAGGCAGCAGUGGGGAAUUUUGGACAAUGGACGAAAGUCUGAUCCAGCAAUGCCGCGUGAGUGAAGAAGGCCUUCGGGUUGUAAAGCUCUUUUGUCAGUGAAGAAAACUUUAGUAAUAACACUAUUAAAGCAUGACGGUAACUGAAGAAUAAGGACCGGCUAACUACGUGCCAGCCGCCGCGGUAA
rnacentral:rRNA from 1 species